rfam:Helianthus annuus linkage group 17, whole genome shotgun sequence.
UCCUCAGUAGCUCAGUGGUAGAGCGGUCGGUUGUUAACUGGCUAGUCGUAGGUUCAAAUCCUACUUGGGGAG